AUGCUUUUAUGUCUAAUUUUAUACCCUAGAGCAUCUAGCUAUAAGUUUGAAAAAUGGUGGCUUUUACACCAAGAUCUCAAAGAGCUACUUGCUAAAAACUGGGCUGCUCCAGUUAAGAUGACUAAACCUAUAGAUGUGUGGCAGGAAAAAGUAAGAAGGUUUAGAAGAUUCUCUAGAGGCUGGAGUAAGAACUUAGAGGCUAGUAUUAGGAAAAAGAAGAAUGAGCUCACUGCAGAAUUUGAUAUGCUAGAUAUUAAAUAUGAAACUACACAUCUGUGUGAUGUGGAAAAUAAUACGAUGCAGAACAUCCUUAAGGAACUUCAUGCCAUCUGGCUGAAGGAAGAAACAAAGGCUAGGCAGAGAUCUAGAGAUAAGGAAAUCCUCGAGGGAGAUAGGAAUACUAAGUAUUUUAAUGUUGUAGCUAAUCAAAGGAGAAGGAAGACCCUGAUUCAUGCUUUAGAGGGGCCAGAUGGCACCACAUCUGACAUCAAUGAGAUGUUGAAAAUAGCUUCUGAUUUCUAUAAAGAUUUGUUUAAAAAAGAAGAUAGACAGGGCUUCACUCUAAGUCAAGAUUUCUUCUCCUCAGAGGAGAAAAUCUCAAAUGACAAAAAUGAAGCUCUUCAAGCACCAUUUAUUGAGGAAGAGGUGAGAGAGGCCAUAUUUGGUUCCUACUCUGAUGGGGCCCCUGGACCAGAUGGUCUCUCUUUCCUAUUCCUCCAAGAAUUUUGGGAGGUCAUCAAAAAGGAUGUAAUGGCAAUGUUUAAGGAUUUUCAUGCUGGUAAUUUAGACAUCUACAGGCUCAAUUUUGCCAUGAUUACUCUUAUUCCAAAAGAGGAAGAUGCCACCAGUAUGAAAAAGUUUAGGCCAAUUAGCUUGUUAAACUGCAUCUUUAAGGUCUUCACCAAAGUACUAACCAAUAGGCUUGCUGUUAUUAUGAAUUUCCUAACUUCUAAUAAUCAGUCAGCCUUCAUAAAAGGGAGAUUCAUUCUGGAAAGUGUGGUGACUGCCCAUGAGGUCUUGCACUCCACUUACCACUCUGAUAACCCAGGUCUGGUGCUUAAGCUAGAUUAUGAGAAGGCAUUUGAUAAAGUUAAUUUGGACUUUCUGAUGGAAAUCCUUCAUAAGAGGAAUUUUGGUCCUGUUUGGAUUAAUUGGAUCCAUCAGAUCACUCAUAUGGGGUCUGUGGGUGUUAAAGUAAAUGGAGUGGAGAGCAACUUCUUUGUAACUAACAAAGGAUUAAGGCAGGGAGACCCUGCUUCACCUCUACUUUUUAAUCUUGUUGUAGAUGUAUUGACAAGAAUGCUUGCUAAAGCAUCCUCUCAUAGUUUGAUUAGAGGGCUGGGUUCUGAUCUCAUUCAGGGGGGGGUCAUCUGCAUGCAAUAUGCAGAUGACACCAUCCUGUUCAUGGAUGAAGAUAAGACAAAAGCAGCUAAUCUUAAAAAAAUCCUAACCUGUUUUGAAAAAGUCUCAGGCAUGGGAAUUAACUAUUCUAAAAGUGAGCUGAUCCAUCUAGGUGAAGAUGAGGGAGAGGUAGCAACCUUUACUGAGAUCUUUGGGUGUACUGUAGGUACUUUUCCCAUAAAAUACCUAGGGAUCCCAUUACACUAUGAUAAACUGAGAAGGGAGGACAUCCAACCACUUAUAGAUAAAAUCAUGAAAAGGAUGGCUGGGUGGAGAGGGAAGUUACUUUCUUACUCAGCUAGGCUUACUCUGAUCAAAGCUUGUUUAGCAAGUAUUCCAGUCUAUCUAUUAUCCUUCUUUAGAUUCCCAAAAUGGGCCUUAGACUUAAUUAAUAGUCAGUUGGCACAUUGUUUGUGGAGUGAUUUUGAGGGGAAUAGGAAACUUCACCUAGCUAACUGGCACUUGGUCUGCAUGAAAAAAGAACAUGGAGGCUUAGGGGUGCCAAAUAUCAUAGAUGUAAAUCUUUGCUUACUUGGGAGCUGGGUUAAGAGAUAUUCUCAAGACAAUGGGAAAAUCUGGAAGACCAUUGUAGAUAAUAAGUAUAUAGGAAUGCCCCCAAUAUCUUUGCUAGCAGACCACAAGCAGCCUCAAACUUUUGGCAAGGUGUGA
rnacentral:rRNA from 1 species